CCUACGGGGCGCAGCAGUGAGGAAUAUUGGUCAAUGGACGAGAGUCUGAACCAGCCAAGUAGCGUGAAGGAUGACUGCCCUAUGGGUUGUAAACUUCUUUUAUAUGGGAAUAAAAUGUUCCACGUGUGGGAUUUUGUAUGUACAAUAUGAAUAAGGAUCGGCUAACUCCGUGCCAGCAGCCGCGGUAAUACGGAGGAUCCGAGCGUUAUCCGGAUUUAGUGGGUUUAAAGGGAGCGUAGGUGGAUUGUUAAGUCAGAUGUGAAAGUUGUCGGCGCAACCGUAAAAUUGCAGAUGUGACUGGCUGUCUUGAGUACGGUAGAGGUAGGCGGAAUUCGUGGUGUAGCAGUGAAAUGCGUAGAUAUCUCGAAGAACUCCGAUUGCGAAGGCAGCCCACUGGACUGCAACUGACGCUGAUACUCGAAAGUGUGGGUAGCAAACAGGAUUAGAUACCCUGGUAGUC
rnacentral:rRNA from 1 species